rnacentral:rRNA from 1 species
CUGACGAGUGGCGGACGGGUGAGUAAUGUCUGGGAAACUGCCCGAUGAAGGGGGAUAACUACUGGAAACGGUAGCUAAUACCGCAUAACGUCUUCGGACCAAAGAGGGGGACCUUCGGGCCUCUUGCCAUCGGAUGUGCCCAGAUGGGAUUAGCUAGUAGGUGGGGUAACGGCUCACCUAGGCGACGAUCCCUAGCUGGUCUGAGAGGAUGACCAGCCACACUGGAACUGAGACACGGUCCAGACUCCUACGGGAGGCAGCAGUGGGGAAUAUUGCACAAUGGGCGCAAGCCUGAUGCAGCCAUGCCGCGUGUAUGAAGAAGGCCUUCGGGUUGUAAAUACCUUUCAGCGGGGAGGAAGGGAGUGAGGUUAAUAACCUCAUUCAUUGACGUUACCCGCACAAGAAGCACCGGCUAACUCCGUGCCAGCAGCCGCGGUAAUACGGAGGGUGCAAGCGUUAAUCGGAAUUACUGGGCGUAAAGCGCACGCAGGCUGUCUGUCAAGUCGGAUGUGAAAUCCCCGGGCUCAACCUGUGAACUGCAUUCGAAACUGGGAGGCUCGAGUCUCGUAGAGGGGGGUAGAAUUCCAGGUGUAGCGGUGAAAUGCGUAGAGAUCUGGACGAAUACCGGUGGCGAAAGCGGCCCCCUGCACGAAGACUGACGCUCAGGUGCGAAAGCGUGGGGAGCAUACAGGAUUAGAUA